rnacentral:rRNA from 1 species
AAUAGAUACCCGGGUAGUCCACGCAGUAAACGAUGCAGACUAGGCGUGGGGGGACUUGACCCCCUCCGUGCCGCAGCCAACGCGAGAAGUCUGCCGCCUGGGGAGUACGGCCGCAAGGCUAAAACCCAAAGGAAUUGACGGGGGCCCGCACAAGCGGCGGAGCGUGCGGUUUAAUUCGACGCAACGCGCAGAACCUUACCAGGGCUUGACAUGCUCCUGCAGAGCCGGGAAACCGGUUGGCCUUCGAGGGUGGAGCACAGGUGCUGCAUGACUGUCGUCAGCUCGUGUCGUGAGAUGUUGGGUUAAGUCCCGCAACGAGCGCAACCCCUGUGGCUAGUUGCCGAUGUUUCUAGCCAGACUGCCGGUAGCAAGCCGGAGGAAGGUGGGGAUGACGUCAAGUCGGCAUGGCCCUUACGCCCUGGGCUACACGCACGCUACAAUGGCCGGGACAGAGGGCAGCCAAACCGCAAGGUGGAGCGAAUCCCACAAACCCGGUCUCAGUUCAGAUCGCGGGCUGCAACUCGCCCG